UACGUAGGGUGCAAGCGUUAAUCGGAAUUACUGGGCGUAAAGCGUGCGCAGGCGGUUAUGUAAGACAGAUGUGAAAUGCCCGGGCUUAACCUGGGAACUGCAUUUGUGACUGCAUGGCUAGAGUUUGGCAGAGGGGGGUAGAAUUCCACGUGUAGCAGUGAAAUGCGUAGAUAUGUGGAGGAACACCGGUGGCGAAGGCGGCUUCCUGGACCGACACUGACGCUGAGGCGCGAAAGCUAGGGGAGCAAACGGG
rnacentral:rRNA from 1 species